rfam:Schistosoma margrebowiei strain Zambia genome assembly, scaffold: SMRZ_scaffold0000479
UUUCCCUCAGGAUAGCUAACAUUCUGAGAAAUAAAUAUUUUUAUGCGGUAAAGCGAAUGAUAAGAAGCAUUGAGGAGAAAUCAACCUCAAUCUAUUCUCAAGUGUUAAAUGAAUAAGAAGUUUAACUUGCUUAAUUGAAGUUUUGCAUUGAAUGUAAGUGUUA